CCUACGGGGCGCAGCAGUGGGGAAUAUUGGGCAAUGGGCGCAAGCCUGACCCAGCAACGCCGCGUGAAGGAAGAAGGCCCUCGGGUUGUAAACUUCUUUUAACAGGGACGAAGAAAGUGACGGUACCUGUUGCAUAAGCCACGGCUAACUCCGUGCCAGCAGCCGCGGUAAUACGGGGGAUGCGAGCGUUAUCCGGAUUUAUUGGGUUUAAAGGGUGCGCCGGCGGAAGAUAAAUUCAGCGGUAAAAUUGAGAGGCUCAACCUCUGCGAGCCGUUGAAACUGGUUUUCUUGAGUGAGUGAGAAGUAUGCGGAAUGCGUGGUGUAGCGGUGAAAUGCAUAGAUAUCACGCAGAACUCCGAUUGCGAAGGCAGCAUACCGGCGCUCAACUGACGCUCAUGCACGAAAGUGUGGGUAUCGAACAGGAUUAGAUACCCGGGUAGUC
rnacentral:rRNA from 1 species